UGGAAGUGAUGAGUACCGUGACGGAUAACCUGCAGGUGCUGGCUGGGGGAUACCCGGUGGCCAGUAACGCAGGCAGCAGCAGGCCAUCCAGCUGCUGGCACAUCCCUGGUUCUGGAGGGCUCAUCUUACGGCAGCUCUGCACCAGGGGAGGCGAAACACAGCAGAACAGCAAAAUAAAAGGCAUCAGCUCCAGGAAGGACUUUUCCCAAGUGCCUUGGAUUUUCCAUGGCCCCAGCCUCAGCCUGCCGGCAGCCUGCCUGGACGCUCUCCUCACUGUGCUUCGGCAGUCCCCCCGGUCCAGGUCCUCCCGCUUCUCUGGAAAGCCCUUCAGGUCAAUGAGUUCCUCUGGAUUUGGAAGCAGGUCCUGAGUAUCCCUCUUUGUGACAGACCAGUGGAACGUUAACCCGGGUACCGCAUUGCCAAACGAAAAAGGAGUCUGACUGCUGGUGGUGCCCAUUACGUAAACCGGCAUCUAGAAACAGAGAAACCAACUUUCCUAAGUAAGCCUGGCAUGCUAACCAAACCUGCGCACAGCAAAUGUGAUUAAACUUAAAAUUCAUCUCCGGAGAGGAGCCAGUCGCACUCACUAAUGGAGCCACCAUGAACUGCUCCAUUGUGUCAGAGGGGCUUCCUCUCCGCAGAUUGUCCAACCCCGUCCAUCCGACACUCCUGACACGUGCAGCCAUGAGGUGGAGGAACCUCUGGACGUGGCUGCGGAGGAUGGAUGAGCCAGGCAGACUGUUGUCUCCCGAGGUGGAAAUAUAAGGAGAACAGAGCAGCAGCUUCCGUGGGUCUUUGACGCUGUCCUCCAUUCCCUCUCUGGUGUACUCGUGAGCUGCUGAAAACCAGCUGCAUUUCCAACUGGGCGGGAACACAGACAACAGUACGGGCAGUAUUUUGGCCUCAGAAAUUUGCAAAGUGAAUGCAAACAGCUAAUUAGAGAAAGGUGGCUGUGCCAGCAAGCGCUCUGACGGGGUGUUGAAGAACGUGCACCUGUUUUCAUGCCUUAAGUGUGGGACUGAGUUGCGAGAAGGGAUGCCGAUGCUAUCUUCGGAUGUUCAAGGCAAGGAUAAUUAAUCUUGUACGGUUUCCUGCGUUAGUGUCCGUGUUGCUGUGCGCUGCGCUGGUAGGCCGUGCAGGUGCAGAAGAUGAGCAGAAGCGUCUCAGGGUGCAGAGGACUCUGCCGGGCUGGUGGGUCCAUGCCAAAUCUGCGCUCCUACGCCGGUGUAGGACCUCUCUGAGUUUGCUAAAGCAGCACUUGAGCUUAGAGUCUCUUGCCAUUAUUUCAAACACCGAAGCAAUAUCUGCUGUUUACCAGGUAAGUGUUUUUCUGGUAUUUUCCCCAGCGCUGAUUGUUGUAGUGGAAUGAGUAGUCUGAGCGGUUGAAACGGAGAAACAGAAGAAAAUUGUGGUAACUGUUUCAGGUUGAGAUCAUGUUUUUCUUCAAGACACCUAAAUGGAGUAGCAGUUGCGUUGAGGGAGUAAGGAGGUGUGUUAGAUAAGUGGCACGAAGAGGUUUUUGGGAAGUCUCGGUGCCGAGCGGUGAGCGCGGCAGUGAGCCGGCUGUCCCCGCCGUGGGUGCGGGAGCAGCUGCAGGAGUCCCGGCAGCUCCUGUGAAGCCCCUUCCUGGCCUGUGCAAGGGCAAACCAAGAGGGUGGACGGUGCUGCAGGAUGCUGGCUUAGUGUUUCCUAUCACAGUAAAUACAGCUAAUUAACGCUGUGGCAUUAGGCCCGUAAAAAAAAAAUAGUAUUUUCCAUCGAUUUAGCCCCCUUCAUUGCACAGAAGCUGAUUGUCUUAACUCCAAACCAACUCACGCUCAAUCAGUGAUGAAGACGGGACUGGGGAAUGCGGAGACGCUGUACCCAGACAGGCGCUGCCUCUGCACGAGGAA